GUGCUCUCUUUGCCAGCACAUAUACUGAAAUUGAAAUGACACAGAGGAGAUUAGCAUGGCCCCUGUGCAAGGAUGACAUGCAAAUUUGUGAAGCCUUCCAUAUAAUA
ensembl:snRNA RNU6-655P RNA, U6 small nuclear 655, pseudogene